UACGUAGGGUGCAAGCGUUAAUCGGAAUUACUGGGCGUAAAGCGUGCGCAGGCGGCUUUGUAAGUCUGGCGUGAAAGCCCCGGGCUCAACCUGGGAAUUGCGGUGGAGACUGCAAGGCUUGAAUCUGGCAGAGGGGGGUAGAAUUCCACGUGUAGCAGUGAAAUGCGUAGAGAUGGGGGGGAACACCGAUGGCGAAGGCAGCCCCCUGGAUCAAGAUUGACGCUCAUGCACGAAAGCGUGGGGAGCAAACAGG
rnacentral:rRNA from 1 species